GAAGAGUACAGACAAGGGAAACACGGCUUCUCCAUGGGACCUGGUGAGUGUGGUGUGCAUUGUGUAAUCUGUGCUUCCUCUCCUCUGUUUCCUACAAAAUGCUUUCUGCUCUGAACAUGUUCUUUACUCUUCCUUGAAGACCCAUGAAGAAUUCAGGAAGACAAGACUUGGCUAUCAAACCAUGGAGGACGAUUGUGUGGAUUGUCAAGGUGAUGUGACUGGUGUGAAGGAUCAGAUAUGACACUGUCACAUUCAGCCCUUCCAGUGCCCACAGGAAAGACAAGAAGCUGGAGUAAGAAAUGGGGAAUGGACAGCUGCAUGAAGAUCUUAAGAGACCAGGACAACCACUGUGGUAGUGCCACAGCUAUCCCACUGUGCGAGCUCCUCGUUGGCGAUAGGAAGGUUUCGAUUGCGGACAUCAUGCCCAGAGGAGGGACUUUAUCACCAAGCUUCAAAAUAU
rnacentral:lncRNA from 1 species